rnacentral:pre_miRNA from 1 species
AGUGGAAUAGUUGGGUCAUAUGGUAGUUCCAUUCCUAGUUUUUUGAGGACUCUCUAUACUACUUUCCAGAGUAGUUGCACUAAUUUGCAGUCUCACCAACAAU